GUCACAAUUAAAACAUUCGAUAAAAUUGGAACGAUAAAGAGAAGAUUAGCAUGGCCCCUGCACAAGGAUGACACGCACAAAUUGAGAAAUGGUCCAAAUUUUU